CAACACCAAAAAAAUAAAUUUAAAAAAUCUGUCCUUUGCAUUAAAAAAAAAAAAAAAGGAGAAACCCCAAACUUUGCCCUCCAUAAAGGCACUCAUGCAUCAACAGACAAGAUCUAAUGUAGGCAGAGGGUGUGCUCCUCUUUGUCACCCACCGGGAGCCUCUCGCCGCGCGUGGGAGAGCUGCGGGGCACCCAGCGGUGCGGUGGCAACCCGCGCCAGCGGCCACCUCCCCGGCCCGGGAACCGAUCUCGGGGGCCGAGAUUGCAGCCCGAGGUCCGGAAGCGGCGUCGGGCGCUGACACCCGGCAGGGUGGGGUGGCAGGAAGGGGGGAAGGGCGCCAGGGGGUGGGGAGGCAACUGGGGGACGGGCUGGACGCCCCGCACCCAGGUCCGCGGAGGCGAGAGAGAGGGUGCAAAGGAAGGCGCAGGGCCCGGAGCUCCUGCCAUUGUGGCCGGGCUGCCUGGCCCGCCGCUGCGGCCGGGACCCCGCGGGCCACGCAGCCUGCUCGGCCCGCGCCCGGGCGCGGUGCGCGGUGGCGCCGGGACUCGCACAAGUUGCCACCCGGGCCGGGAGCGGGACCGGGACCGGGACCCCGCCGGCGGCCGCCCUUCCGGCGCGGGCAUUGUUCCCCGCGCGCCUCCUACCUCGCGGCGCCCGCGGUUCCAGCGGCUCCGGGUCCCCGGCUCCGGGCUCCGGGCUCCGGGCUCCGGGUCGGCGGCGGGCGAGGGCGCGGCGGCUCCGGGCUGAGCCUGCGGCGGCGCGCGGGCUAUUAAUACCCGCGGGCGGCGGUGGCGGCGAUGGCGAUGGCGAUGGCGCGGGCGCGCGAGCUGGGCUGGCGGUGGCCGGCCGAGGUCCGAGCCAUCAAAGGUGGCGCGGGGCGGAGGGGAGGGCGGAGCAGGCAGGGUGGGUGGGGAGCGGGCUCCGGGUCGCCAUGGCCGCCCGCACGCCGGGCCGAGCGGCACUCGCGCGGGAGGAGCGGCGCAAAGCGGGCGGUGGCCGCGUUCCCGCCUCGCGCCAAGCCGAGCGCACGCAGCCGCUGCGCCCGCGCGGGACCCGCCGCGUCCGAGGCCGGCGAGCGGGAAGUGCGGGCGGC
rnacentral:lncRNA from 1 species